GGGGGGAUUUGGGAACCCCCAGCCCCAAAUUCUGCGGCAGCGGGGGCUGGGCUGGAUCAGGCACUUCUGGGCACUGCGGGGAGGGGACAGGGACGGACAGAGGGACGGACAGGGAUGGACAGAGGGAUGGACAGGGAUGGAUGGGAUGGACAGGGAGGGACAGAGAGAGGGACACAGGGAUGGACAGAGGGAUGGACACAGGAUGGACACAGGGAUGGACAGGGAUGGACAGAGGGAUGGACACAGGAUGGACAGAGGGAUGGACACAGGGAUGGACACAGGAUGGACGCUGCAUCCACAGCCCUGCUGUCCCAUCCCGCUGUCCCAGCCCUGCCCUGUCCCCAGCCCCGGGUGCCCACAC
rnacentral:lncRNA from 1 species